rnacentral:rRNA from 1 species
UACAGAGGUCCCGAGCGUUGUUCGGAUUCACUGGGCGUAAAGGGUGCGUAGGUGGUGAGGUAAGUCGGAUGUGAAAUCUCCGGGCUUAACCCGGAAACUGCAUUGGAAACUACCUUGCUGGAGGGUUUGAGGGGGGACUGGAAUUCUCGGUGUAGCAGUGAAAUGCGUAGAUAUCGAGAGGAACACCGGUGGCGAAGGCGAGUCCCUGGAAACACCUGACACUGAGGCACGAAAGCUAGGGGAGCAAACAGG